rnacentral:tmRNA from 1 species
GAAAGACUUGUCCAGAAGUGGGCUGUCCACUGGCCAGCGGCUGGAGACCUCAAUCGGUGGAAUACGCACGUAGACGCUGUGGUCGAUCUUGUCUCGGACCGGGGUUCGAAUCCCCGCGCCUCCACUU